UGCGGGUUGAGCUGGUAGCGCAGCAUCGCCAGCUGGGCACUGGUGGCCUGGGUCUCCAGCCGGAUCAGCUGGUCGUUCUGCUCCUCCACCUGCAG
rnacentral:tRNA from 1 species